rnacentral:rRNA from 1 species
GACGAACGCUGGCGGCGUGCCUAAUACAUGCAAGUAGAACGCUGAAGAGAGGAGCUUACUCUUCUUGGAUGAGUUGCGAACGGGUGAGUAACGCGUAGGUAACCUGCCUUGUAGCGGGGGAUAACUAUUGGAAACGAUAGCUAAUACCGCAUAACAAUGGAUGACACAUGUCAUUUAUUUGAAAGGGGCAAUUGCUCCACUACAAGAUGGACCUGCGUUGUAUUAGCUAGUAGGUGAGGUAAUGGCUCACCUAGGCGACGAUACAUAGCCGACCUGAGAGGGUGAUCGGCCACACUGGGACUGAGACACGGCCCAGACUCCUACGGGAGGCAGCAGUAGGGAAUCUUCGGCAAUGGGGGCAACCCUGACCGAGCAACGCCGCGUGAGUGAAGAAGGUUUUCGGAACGUAAAGCUCUGGUGUAAGUCAAGAACGGGUGUGAGAGUGGAAAGUUCACACUGUGACGGUAGCUUACCAGAAAGGGACGGCUAACUACGUG